GGGGGCUGCGGCCGCCGGGUCUGAAAGUUAGCUACCGGUUGAUUCUGCCAGAU
rnacentral:rRNA from 1 species